AUUGAACGCUGGCGGCAUGCUUUACACAUGCAAGUCGAACGGCAGCACGGGCUUCGGCCUGGUGGCGAGUGGCGAACGGGUGAGUAAUACAUCGGAACGUACCCAGUAGUGGGGGAUAGCCCGGCGAAAGCCGGAUUAAUACCGCAUAUGCCCUGAGGGGGAAAGCGGGGGACCGAAAGGCCUCGCGCUAUUGGAGCGGCCGAUGGCUGAUUAGCGAGUUGGUGGGGUAAAGGCCUACCAAGGCGACGAUCAGUAGCUGGUCUGAGAGGACGACCAGCCACACUGGGACUGAGACACGGCCCAGACUCCUACGGAAGGCAGCAGUGGGGAGUUUUGGACAAUGGGCGAAAGCCUGAUCCAGCAAUGCCGCGUGUGCGAAGAAGGCCUUCGGGUUGUAAAGCACUUUUGUUUGGAAAGAAAAGGUUUGGGUUAAUACCCUGGACUGAUGACGGUACCAAUCGAAUAAGCACCGGCUAACUACGUGCCAGCAGCCGCCGUAA
rnacentral:rRNA from 1 species